rnacentral:tRNA from 1 species
UAAAAAUUAGUUAAUUUAUAACAUAAGCUUGUCAAGCUUAAAUUAUUAGAUAUCUAAUAUUUUUAA